rnacentral:rRNA from 1 species
UACUUCCCUAGACCUUGCAACCUAGCUUUUCUCCGUGACCGCUCUCUCCGACUCUCGCUCGACCCAGCAAGGGGAGCUCGGGUGAGAGGGAAGGAGGGGCGACGGCGGUCGGUAGGAGGGGCAGGGCGCGGAAGAGGAGGGGUAGCGGGGAGGGACGGCGUCUUCGUCGUCAGGGGCGGGCAGCGGGUUCUCAGCUUCGGGCGGUGGUUCGUCGGCGGGGGAGAGGAGAAGGAGGGUGGAGUAGGGAGAGAGGGGUAGGUUUGGGAUCGGGGCGUGGCCGGAAGGACGGGGCGGCGGCAGUAGAGGAAGCGGGCCAGCCGGCGGGGCGUGGCGUGCUCCACCCUACGCUCCUCCGUCCGCUCAGCGAGGUCGCUCCUAGGAUAGGGGUGGCGCGUCGAGACAUCGAGCGAGUCCGUGGGCUUGUGGCUGCGGUACCUCCUGCGACGAGGUGGGGACGAGGCCAAGCACGGGGGCUACGGUACCUCCUGCGGGGAGGUGGGGACGAGAUCGGACUUCCACUAUGCAACAUUAUACCGACGUGCAACAUUAGAACUGUCCAAACUGAACAAUAGACACUUACCUCUUUGUUUUUGACAUUACGUCCUCUAUUGAGUACCACGGACGUUGAUAGAGGAUUUUGGGCAAGCGUAGCUCCUCGAAUCCUUAUAGACCGUCGUAUUCCUACACUUCUACUAUAGCGGACUCAACAGGGUCUCGUGGUAUGGCCUCGGAGCAAAGGACGGACGCGAUCUUUUCGCGGCAGCCAACCCGCCGCGCAGCCAACCGAGCACCGCCGGAGUUCGUCGCGCCCUAAACCGUAAGUCCCUGCGGCAGUUCCCCAAGCAGCUAGACUGCUGCCGUUCCUCGCUGCGCCAGUGAGCUCCAACGCUGUCCCCGCGGUUUUACACCACGUGCGUCUAGACGUCUUCGACAGCGCACCUAGCACGCUCCACCGUUCCCCGCCGCCAAGCGCAGCGUACCCACGGCCGCUCCGCGCCACGCCUACGCCUUCCCCGCGUAGAACCCGACCGGCGAUCCCCGCCCGAGGCAGCCGGAGAGACGUAGUUCAGGCCGGACCACCGCCGAGAUCCGUCGCUGGUCAAAAACCGACAGCUCCACCUCCUGCACACCUCUAUGUCGCUCCCGUACACCUAACGGCCUAACCGACAGCUGAUC